rnacentral:rRNA from 1 species
UACAGAGGGUGCGAGCGUUAAUCGGAAUUACUGGGCGUAAAGCGUGCGUAGACGGCUAUCUAAGUCGGGUGUGAAAGCCCCGGGCUCAACCUGGGAAUUGCAUUCGAGACUGAAUAGCUAGGGUACGGUAGAGGGAAGUGGAAUUUCCGGUGUAGCGGUGAAAUGCGUAGAUAUCGGGAAGAACAUCGGUGGCGAAGGCAAUCCCCUGGGCCUGCACUGACGCUCAUGCACGAAAGCGUGGGGAGCAAACAGG